rnacentral:rRNA from 1 species
AACAGCAAGCAACUGCGAUUGCUUCAGUAACGGCGAGUGAACUGGCAUGACUCAUGGCUCAACCUGAACGAGAUUCCUUCCUACCUGUUGCUGUCUCUGACAGAAGCAGUUGGCUACUGCUGGUCUCUACUGAUGUUGUGGGCUUUGGAUCGUAUGGCUGUGUAAGUGGAUGGUUUUGGUACCAAGAAACUACCUGGAAUGGCAUACCAUAGAGGGAUACUGUCCCGUAUGCUUGAGUGUACCAUGACCUCUGCUAUGCUUCUGUAUGAAUCCACGAGUAGAAUGGCUUGGGACUGCAGUUUGAAGUGUGAUGUGUAUCCAUCACAAGGAUCAAUACCACCAUGAGACCGAUAGCGCACAAGUAGAGUGAUUGAAGGAUGCAAAGGACUUUGCAAAGAGGGUUAAAAGUCCCUGAAGCCUUGACAGGUACGGCGGUGUGUGAUGCUGUGGAAUCAUCAAGCAGUCUUGGGCUAGCCUGAGUCUGGCUACUGAGCCAAUUCCUCAAGGAAUCGAUGCAGUCGUAGCAGUCAUGCGGUGACAGUAAGCCUGUCUGAGCCUGAGGUUUGCAGUGAUACCAAAGGGAAGAGCUUACACAAAGUCAUGAUCCAUCGAGUGUACUCCAACAGUGUUGCUUGAAUGGUCUGGCUUGUGUAUCGAGAGUUCAAAGGAAACUGUGCUAUGAUGCUGGUGUAUCUACGGGUAUGCCAAUCACUAGUGUCUGUCAUGGACUGAGGCAGAGCUCUGCUUGUUGAUUGCAUCACUUCUGUUGAUGAUCAAUGGGUAAGGUUCAGUCUCCCAGACAGUACCUAGUGUAGAUUGGAUGGCAGCAGAGCUUGGUACUAUCAGUGUCAUACUCUGCCCGUCUUGAAACACGGACCAAGGAGUCUAUGAAGCUUGUGUGCUUGCAAGUGAUCCUGGAAGACUGGCAAGGCAGGGUGAAAGCAACUGUUACCCAGAUGGUGCUUGGAUGGUGCGAGAAGACAGUGGAAGACCAGAGAGUUGUCACUCAGACAGUAGUGAAGGAGAAGAUGGUAUAGAGUCAACACAUGAGCUGUUGUACUCCUACUGGUUGAUGCUUGGUCUGUUGGCUUGUGAUCCCUCACUGCUGGCAACCACUUCACACUGGAAGAGUAUCUAUACUAGACUCUGUCUACGAUGGCUCUAAGGGAUCUACUGUCGAGUCUGUGGCUGCUGAGUGAAUACUAAUGCAUGGGACACCAGAUUCGAAGUCAAGCUGACUGAGUUUUGAGUGCUUGCAAGGUUCAUGGGACCCGAAAGGUGGUGAACUAUACCAUUCCAUGACGAAGCCAUGGGAAACUGUGGUGGAAGUCAGUCGCUGUUCUGACGUGCAAAUUGUGUAGCCUGAGCAUGGCAUAGGGGUGAAAGGCAAAUCGAACCACCUAGUAGCUGGUUUCCCU